AUAAUGGUCUUUCGCCUGAAACAGCUCCAUGUCGCCGACAGCUCAGCCACAAAAUAUGUAACUAUUCAGCACUGAAGAGACAGUUAGCUUCGGCCCGAGAAGCCAGCGAACAGCAGUCAUCAAGUCAGCGAACCCAGAGCUCAGCAAAGACAUUUCGGCAGCGAUUCGAGCGACAUGUCGUGUCCUGUCUGACUCAGCCUCUGAUAUUUUCCUCCACCGUGAAUGAAGAGCAGAGCAGCGGUGAGGCAGCGAGGAGGGACUCAGGCGAGUUCCUGCAGUAACAACAUCACGUGAUCACUUUCGUCAUGUAAAGGGAAAAAGAAUGAUAUUCAUCUUUGGAUGAAUAAAUUAUUCCACUUAUAAAGCGA